rnacentral:rRNA from 1 species
CAGCCGCCACGGUAAUACGGAGGAUCCAAGCGUUAUCCGGAAUCAUUUGGUUUAAAGGGUCCGUAGGCGGUCUUGUAAGUCAGUGGUGAAAGCCCAUCGCUCAACGGUGGAACGGCCAUUGAUACUGCAGGACUUGAAUUAUUGGGAAGUAACUAGAAUAUGUAGUGUAGCGGUGAAAUGCUUAGAGAUUACAUGGAAUACCAAUUGCGAAGGCAGGUUACUACCAAUUGAUUGACGCUGAUGGACGAAAGCGUGGGUAGCGAACAUGAUUAGAUACCCCCGUAGUCCCUGUCUCUUAUAU